GCAGCCGCCGCGGUAAUACGUAGGGUGCGAGCGUUAAUCGGAAUUACUGGGCGUAAAGCGCACGUAGGCGGCUUGGUAAGUUAGAGGUGAAAGCCCAGGGCUCAACCCUGGAAUUGCCUUUAAGACUGCCGAGCUAGUAGGUGAGAGAGGUAAGUGGAAUUCCGAGUGUAGAGGUGAAAUUCGUAGAUAUUCGGAAGAACGCCAGUGGCGAAGGCGGCUUACUGGCUCAUUCUAGACGCUGAGGUGCGAAAGCGUGGGGAGCAAACAGGAUUAGAUACCCGAGUAGUCCCUGUCUCUUAUAC
rnacentral:rRNA from 1 species